ACUUCCAUGUAAUUUGAAUGUGUAGGGGUGCUCAUAUUGGACUAAACCAUUACUUUCUAGCAGUAAGACCACCAGACUCUCCAAAUGAGCCUAUUUGACCAUAUACGCAGACAAGCUCCAACAUGCUCUUUUCAAAUGGCAUGUCAGUGGCCAUAGACACUAAACCCCCUCUUCAAAAACAUACUGGACACCCCCAAGGCUUUCAACAUAUUAUAGUCCACCCAGUAGUCAUACUGCCUAUACUGAAGAGCAAUUGUCGCUCAUUGCGCAGCUGAGCACUCAAAAGAGUUUCCACAGGGUUAUGUGCAAGCCCUGGAGCCUAUUGGAGAGGUCCACAAAUGAUUGAAUAUGCAUUGUGGACACACAGAGACUCUUUUGGAUUGGAAUAGACCACUGAAACUUGGAGGAAAAUUAUAUAUUUGUAAUAUGACAGGAACAGACACAACAACUAUCACUUUAAAUUUGGCUGAAAAUGUGCUGACUUAGGCUCAAGGGUGCCGAGACAUACUGCAGUGCUUUGGGCUACUCAAGAAGAGAUCAAGUGUUUGCUCUUCUGCGUGUCCAGACUUGAACCAUCCAUGGCUGUGCCUGGGGCUGUGGCAAGACCCUGAAUCCGUCCACUCGACGACCAGCUCCCAGUAACAGCCAUGUCAACAACAAUGUACAACAAGGAUGUUAAAAAGGCAUCAUACAUAGUAAACCCUAACAACAAACCAGAAACCGACGGCGUCCAGCGCAUUAGGUUGUCACACCUUCUUCUAUGUCGCCACGGGGUGGUCAGUUGGUCAUCACAAACAAAACAUCCUCCUUGAGUCCUUAAAAUAUUUUUUAUAACAUAAUGAUAAAGGCAAACGGUUUCAAGGACUGAGAAAUGGCAUGAACUGCAACGCACAGCACUUGCGUGGAGAUGGCAGCUGCUGGCGAGCGCCUGCUGCAGUCGCUAUUGUUCAAACGACGUCAGCUGUCACACAUAUCACAUUUCAAACUGGAAUCAGAUCCAAAUAAAUGAAAUUGUUACUUGUGGCAAUAAGCGUCCACAGCAGACUAAAUAUAUAUAUUCUUAUCGUUUCAAUUG